CAAUCCGCGAGGCACGGUCUGGAGGAAGCCGCUAGUAAAACUGCGAGCUGAUGAACAAGAACAUCAUAUGAGGCGUAGGCCGGAGGCGAGUUGACACCAGACGACGAAGCCGCGUGAUCUGACGGCCACCGUAAAUGAUGCAGUUGUGCGAUGAAAGUUCAUGCU
rnacentral:ncRNA from 2 species